CUGGUGGUGGUGGGGGUGGUGGUGGUGGUGGUGGGGUGGUGGUGGGGGGUGGUGGUGGUGAGGGGACGGGGGGGCUGGCUGCUGUAUCCACCCACCGGCUGGAUGGACAGGACUGGACGCAGCCUAUUGUCCUCUUCCUCCUCCUCCUCCUCCUCCUCCUCAGUGCUGCUCUUAGUUAUCGCACGAGUCCAGCUGUUACAUUCAUGCCGCAGUGCCCACGGGCUGAUGGGCACGGCGUGUCAGUGUAGCCCCUCUGUAGUCCGCUGCUGCGCUGGUGGUACCGACUCACUCAUCUUCUGCUCUGGUCUGAGAGAGGAGCAGGAGGGAGAGACCUACGGAAGAGAGGCAGAGCAAAGAGAGAGAGGUAGAGUUAGAGAGAGAGGGAGCAACGGAAGAGAGAGGCAGAGCGGAGAGAGAGAGGCAGAGCAAAGAGAGAGAGGUAGAGUUAGAGAGAGAGGGAGCAACAGAAGAGAGAGGCAGAGCGGAGAGAGAGAGGUAGAGUUAGAGAGAGAGGGAGCAACAGAAGAGAGAGGCAGAGCGAAGAGAGAGAGGUAGAGUUAGAGAGAGAGGGAGCAACAGAA
ensembl:lncRNA